rnacentral:lncRNA from 1 species
UCGCAGACUCAUCCAAGCAAGCACGGCAGGCAGCAAGCCCGUCAGGGGACGGCUGCUCGGCGGCAGUCGGUGCCUAAGCCGAGCCCCGCUCCGGGCCCGCGGGGGCGAGGGGCCCCGGCCAGCCCCGCUCCCCCGGGGCCGCUCCGAGGCGAUGCCGGUGGCGGUGGCUCCCGGCGCUGCGCCGCCUCCGUCUGGAGUCAGACGCUCGGGGUCCGCGGCAGCUGCAGCCGCGGCGGAGGGGCAGGGGCAGGGGGGGCCAUGCUCCGCGAGCGCGGGCGCUGCGGUGCCGGAGGGGGAGGGCCUUUCCCUGGUUGGACGUGGCCAAAAGCACAAGGAAAAAAAAAAAAGGGGAAAAAAAAAAAAGGGGGGGGGGGGGGUGGAAGAAAAAUCACGGCACCGGCGCUGCCCACAGGUGCGCGGAGCUGCGGGGCGCCGGUGCUGGUUGCAGCCCCCGCGGGGAACGCGGGGCUGUGCCCGCGCCCCUCCCGGCGGUGCGGGGCGGGGGGCGCCGCCGGUGCUGAAGGGACAGCGCCGCGCUCCCGCCGCCUCCGCCCCUGCCUGCGCCCGGCCGGCCCGGGUCGAGCGCUGCCGGUGCGGGCGGCGGGACCCGCGGCGCUGCCGCUGCUCCUCCCGCUGCUCCUCCCGCUGCCGCCGCCGCUGCCGAGCCGCUCGGUGCAGCCCGCCCGCCGCCGGCACCGCCGCGCAGGCGCCGCUGCCGCCCGGGUCCUGGCGCGGGCCGCGCCCCCGGCUCCCGCCGCCGCGUCCGCCGCUCCCCGCAGCUGCCGGGACAGGGGUGCCCGCUCCGGGGCUGCGGGGAGAGCGCCCUGCCGCCCCGCUCACCUUCCCGCGGCCGCGCGGUGGUCACAGCAGGGGUCCCCUUCGGGAGCGGUGGGUGUCCCGGUGCUGCCCCUCGCUCGGCUCUCAGCAACCCUCUCGAGCAUCCCUGACGGACAUUUCAAAAACCCCCGGUUCCUGUCUUGUGAGGAGCGUGAAGAACAGCAGGAAGAUGGUUGUGUGGAAGGAAAGUAAGAGAGGAAGCAGGAAGAUGCUUUACCCAGAGUUUCCAGGACCUGGGGAAGACUUCUGUAGGAAUCCAGUGCAAAAGGACUAUACCAACCCUCCAGACAGUAGCUGGAAUUCCUGGUAACAUGCAAGAUUUGCAGCAGGGACUGAGCAGAACGUUUCAAGAAGGAGCAGAUGGAAACAGCUGCUAACAGAUGAGUACUGGAAUGGAUUCAAGGCACACUACUUGCUGGAACUUGAGAGUUUGUGAUGGCCUGAGCUUCCCCAACCACAGGUAUCUAAGAUUUGGAACCAGGCAGCUGUCAGUCAGUUCUUAUUUAUGAGGACCAGAAAAACCCCAUUCUUGUCCUAUGGUGUGGGGAAUCUUUUAAGCUGGGUUGCAAGUAGUACUAAAGAUAAAAGAACCCUACUAAGAUAUUUUUCAUGAAUGUGUCUAUCUCAUUGUCCACUCACUCAAAAUGGUUGUUUCUCUUGACCUUGAGCUGAGGUUUAACAGGUGGGUAAAAGAUAAAUUUAGGAAAUCCAGUGAUGCAAUGCUGACACUUUUAUAUCUUCUUGCAUAAUUUCGAGCAUACCAUGAAGAAUAAUAAAUGGCAAAGGCUAAAGUGUCCUUGGCAAACAAACAGACAGAAUAGCACCCUGUGAUAUUUUUACCUUUGUUUCCCCUCACCACACACUUUUUACUCCCACAGAGCUUGAAAUAUUAACCCAGCAUGUUAAUUUAUUUCUUCCAGAGUUGCCCUGACUGUUGCAUUUAACAUCUCUCUUGGAAGUACUUCAAACCAAGUGGCUGGCUCCAUCUCUAGCUUUGUUAAUUAGGCACAUUACUUGGUUGCUUUUUCUCAUAUCGCUUAAUGUAAUUGGCAUUUGUGAAGCUUUUGAAAGGCAUGUUUGGGACUACAUUUUGUGCAGCUGGCUUUCAACUGCAAGCUGUUUCAACUGUGUAGUUCAGUAGAGGAGAGCCUUUGAGAGCAUAGAGCAUGUGUGCCUAGCACAUACCAGGCUUCCUUUCCAAAGGGAACAAAGGGAUGCAAGCAUGGCCUGUCCCAUACAAAGAAACAUGUGUGACACAUGAACCCCCCUGCAUACAUUUGUAUUUCUGUGGCAUUAGAUCUGUAAUGGGAGCACGACGUGCCCUGGUUGAAGAACAGGUCUCCUUUUAUAAGCUGUUGUAUAAAUGCUUUGCUCUGUGAUGGUCUUCCUCCCGGCCUUUAGGCCACACAUAGGGAGACCUUGCCAUAUGGACACAAAAGCCUUUGGUUUUCCCAUAAAAAUGCAUCUUUGAGCAUCCAAACUCAAACCAUGAGUUUGUACCUGCUGCAAUAAUUCCAACAGAUAAGGGUACCAGUGCUGUGUCAACUGCCAGCAAGACUGAUGAAUUUACACCGGGUAGGAAUUCGGCUCAUUGAUUUCAGUUGUCGUGGUGUGAAAUGAUAUUCUCUACCUGAGCUGAGAAAGAGUUAGAUGGGAGAGUUUAGGGGGGAAAAAUAAGGAAUGUGUGCACUAAAAAAAACAUGUCAAAGUCCUGUUUUUCAUGGAAAGGCUGCCCUCCGGUGGCCUGGAGAAAAGCCUACACACUGCUUGUUGGUUCAAUAAUGUCCUUUCACACUGCAGCAAGCAGCAGCUCUCAAAUAUGGAUGGGCUGGGCUCCUGCCUCAGGAAACCCACAGGUAGCAUAAAAACAAGUAAAGAAACUCAGAACAAAAAGGUAUGGCUUUAAUUGGUUUAGGAUUCAGAAGUAGGGCAAUGUGAAAGAAAGGAAUGUUGUGUGGCCAAAGUAUAAAAUGAAUCAUAGAAUGGUUGGGGUUGGAAAGGACCUUAGAGAUCAUCUCGUUCCAACCCCUCUGCCAUGGAAAGGGACACCUUCCACUAGACCAGGCUGCUCAGAGCCCCAUCCAACCUGGCCUUGAACACUUCCAGGGAUGGGGCAGCCACAAUUUCUCUGGGCAACACAUUCCAGUGUCCCACCACCCUCACAGUAAAGAAUUUCUUCCUAAUAUCUAAUCUAAACCUGCUCUCUUUCAGUUUGACACCAUUCCCCCUUGUUCUGUCACUACAUAGUCUUUUAAACAGUCUCUCUUCAUCUUUCUUGUAUUUUCCCUUCAGCUACUGGAAGGCCACAACUACGUCACCCUGAAGCCUUCUCUUUUCCAGGCUGAACAAUCCCAACUCUCUCAGCCUUU